CAGCAUGUUCAAACUGGUGCUACACAUUGUAUCAAAAAAAUAUUAUCGCAAUAACAGAGUGUGCAAUAUUCAUAUCACAAAGACGUUCAAUCAUUUCUUUUCUUUUUUUUUCAUUAACUUUCUGUUUUACACACCAUGGGGUACCAGAGUGGUUUUCUCUAUCACUCAAACAUGCUAGUUUUUCUGGCAAA